UACGUAGGCAGCGAGCGUUGUUCGGAAUUACUGGGCGUAAAGAGUGCGUAGGCGGUGCUCUAAGUUUGGUGUGAAAUCUCCCGGCUUAACCGGGAGGGUGCGCCGAAGACUGGAGUGCUUGAGUGUGGGAGAGGAAAGCGGAAUUCCUGGUGUAGCGGUGAAAUGCGUAGAUAUCAGGAGGAACACCUGCGGUGUAGACGGCUUUCUGGACCACGACUGACGCUGAGGCACGAAAGCGUGGGUAGCAAACAGG
rnacentral:rRNA from 3 species